ensembl:lncRNA
CUCCUGCAGUAGUAGUGGAUGUUUCAGCAAGAGUUGCAAUGGUUGUUGAGGGCACUGUUGUUGUUGUUGCUGUUGUGGAGGAUUCUGCUGUUGUAACGGUAGUUUGUAGUGCUGUCGUGGUAACUCCUGCAGUAGUAGUGGAUGAUUUAUCAAGAGUUGUAAUUGUUGUUGAGGGAACUGUUGUUGUUGUUGCUGUUGUGGAGGAUUCUGCUGUUGUAACAGUAGUUUGUGGUGCUGUUGUGGUAACUCCUGCAAUAGUGGUGGAUGAUUCAGCAAGAGUUGUAAUGGUUGUUGAGGGCACUGUUGUUGUUGUUGUAGAUGUUGUGGAGGAUUCUGCUGUUGUAUCAGUAGUUUGUGGGGCUGUUGUGGAAACUCCUGCAGUAGUGGUUCCAGCAGCAGUUGAUGUCACUGUUGAAGAAUGUUUUGUGGAUGCUGUGGCUGUGCUGACAGUGGUGCUUUCAAUAGUGAUUAAAGGGGGAAUCACAGAAGUUACUGCCGUAGUUGUCGUCUGUGGCGCUGUUGUGGACACUCCUGCAGUAGUAGUUCCAGCAGGAGUUGAUGUCACUGUUGAAGGAUGUGUUGUUGUAGCUGUUGGUGCUGUGGAUGUUGUGGCUGCACUGACAGUGGUGCUUUCAAUAGUGGUUGAAGAAGGAAUCACAACAGGUACUGCAGUAGUUGUCGUCUGUAGUGCUGUUGUGGAAACUCCUGCAGUAGUGGUUCCAGCAGCAGUUGAUGUCACUGUUGAAGGAUGUGUUGUUGUAGCUGUUGGUGCUGUGGAUGUUGUGGCUGCACUGACAGUGGUGCUUUCAAUAGUGGUUAAAGAAGGACUCACAACAGGUACUGCAGUAUUUGGCGUCUGUGGUGCUGUUGUUGAAACUCCUGCAGUAGUAGUUCCAGCAGCAGUUGAUGUCACUGUUAAAGAAUGUGUUCUUGUAGCUGUUGGUGCUGUGGAUGUAGUGGCUGCACUGACAGUGGUGCUUUCAAUAGUGGUUAAAGAAGCACUCACAACAGGUACUGCAGUAGUUGUCGUCUGUGGUGCUGUUGUGGAAAUUCCUGCAGUAGUAGUUCCAGAAGCAGUUGAUGUCACUGUUGAAGGAUGUUUUGUGGAUGUUGUGGCUGUACUGAUAGUGGUGCUUUCAAUAGUGAUUGAAGGGGAAAUCAUAGAAGUUACUGCAGUAGAUGUUGUCUGUGGCGGUGUUGUGGAAACUCCUGCAGUAGUAGUUCCGGCAGGAGUUGAUGCCACUGUUGAAGGAUGUGUUGUUGUAGCUGUUGGUGCUGUGGAUGUUGUGGCUGCACUGACAGUGGUGCUUUCAAUAGUGGUUAAAGAAGGACUCACAACAGGUACUGCAGUAGUUGUCGUCUGUGGUGCUGUUGUGGAAACUCCUGCAGUAGUGGUUCCAGCAGCAGUUGAUGUCACUGCUGAAGAAUGUGUUGUGGAUGUUGUGGCUCUACUGAUAGUGGUGCUUUCGAUAGUGAUUGAAGGGGAAAUCACAGAAGUUACUGCAGUAGUUGUCGUCUGUGGCGCUGUUGUGGAAACUCCUGCAGUAGUAGUUCCAGCAAGAGUUGAUGUCACUGUUGAAGGAUGUUUUGUUGUAUCUGUUGGUGUUAUAGAUGUUGUGGCUGUACUGAAAGUGGCGCUUUCGAUAGUGUUUGAAGAAGCACUCACAACAGGUACUACAGUAGUUGUCGUCUGUGGUGCUGUUGUGGAAAUUCCUGCAGUAGUAGUUCCAGAAGCAACUGAUGUCACUGUUAAAGGAUGUGUUGUUGUAGCUGUUUGUGGAUGUGUUAUUGUAGCUGUUGGUGUUGUGGAUGUUGUGGCUGUACUGACAGUGGUGCUUUCAGCAGGGGUUGAAGUGGGGAUCACAGAAGUUACUGCAGUAGAUGUUGUUUGUGAAGCUGUUGUGGAAAAUCCUGCAGUAGUACUUCCACCAAGAAUUGUGACUACUGUUGUUGUUGCUUUUGUUGUUGAUGUUUCUGCUACACUAGUAGGGAAUAUUUCAGUUGCAGUUGUUGUAAUUGUGGAAGUGUCUGUUGUUGUUGUUGAAGCUGUUUCGGCUACACUAGUGGUGGAUGUUUCAGCAGGAGUUUUUGUGAUUGUGGAAGUCUCUGUUGAUGUUUCUGUUGCACUAUUGGUUGAUGUUUCAGCAGGAAUUGUUGUGAUUGAGGAAGUCUCUGUUGUUGAAGAUAUUUCUGCUACACUAAUGGUGGAUGUUUCAGCAGGACUCAAGAUUGUGGAAGUCUCUUUUGUAGUAGAUGUUUCUGCUUCACUAGGGGUGGAUAUUUCAGGUGUAGUUGUGAUUGUUAAAGUCUCUAAUGUUGUAGAUGUUUCUGCUACAAUGAGAGUAGAGGUUUCAGCUGGAAUUGUUGUGAUUGUGGAGGUCUCUGUUGUUGUAGAUGUUUCUACUUCACUAGUGGUGGAUGUUUCAGGAGGUGUCGUUAUUGUGGAAGUUUCUUCUGAAGUAGAUGUUUCUGCUUCAGUAGUGGUUGAUGUUUCAGCAGGCGUAGUGAUUGUGGAAGUCUCUGUUGUUUUAGAUGUUUCUGCUACACUAAUGGUGGAUGUUUCAGCAGGACUCGUGAUUGAGGAAGUGUCUUUUGUAGUAGAUGUUUCUGUUUGACUAGUGGUGGAUAUUUCAGGUGUAGCUGUGAUUGUUGAAGUCUCUGUUGUUCUAGAUGUUUCUGCUAAAAUGAUAGUGGAUGUUUCAGCUGGAAUUGUUGUGAUUGUGGAACUCUCUGUUGUUGUAGAUGUUUCUGCUACACUGAUAAUAGAGGUUUCAGCAGGAAUUGUUGUGAUUGUGGAAGUAUCUGUUCUUGCAGAUGUUUCUACUUCACUAAUUGUGGAUGUUUCAAUGGCAGUUGUUGUGAGUGUGGAAGUCUCUGUUGUUGUAGAUGUUUCUGCUACACUGAUAGUAGAGGCUUCAGCAGGAAUUGUUGAGAUUGUGGAAGUAACUAUUGGUGUAGAUGUUCCUGCAGCACUAGUGGUGGAUAUUUCAGCAGGAAUUGUUGUGAUUUUGGAAGUCUCUGUUGUUGACGACGUAUCUGUAGCACUAGUGGUAAAUGUUUCAGCAGGAAUUGUUGUGAUUGUGGAAGUAUCUGUUCUUGUAUAUGUUUCUACUGGCCUAAUUGUGGAUGUUUUAACCACAGUUGUUGUGAGUGUGGAAGUCUCUGUUGUUGAAGAUAUUUCUGCUUCACUAGUGGUGGAUAUUUCAGCAGGUGUCGUUUUUGUGGAAGUCUCUUUUGUAGUAGAUGUUUCUGCUACACUGAUACUAGAGGUUUCCACAGCAAUUGUUGUAAUUGUGGAAGUCUCUGUUGUUGUAGAUGUUUCUGCUGCACUAGUGGUGGAUGUUUUAGCAGGAGUGGCUGUGAGUGUGGAUGUCUCUGUUGUUGUAGAUGUUUCUGCUAAACUAAAAGUGGAUGUUUCAACUGGAUUUGUUAUGAUUGUGGAAAUCUCUGUUGUUGUAGAUGUUUCUACUUCAAUAGUGUUGGAAGUUUCAGGAGGUGUCGGUAUUGUGGAAGUCUCUGUGCUUGUAGAUGUUUCUGAUGCAUUAGUGGUGGAUGAUUCGGCAGGAUUUGUUGUGAUUGUGGAAGUCUCUUUUGACGUAGAUGUUUCUGCUUCAG